GGGGUGGUGGCGCAGUUGGCUAGCGCGUUGGUCUCAUAAUCCUGAGGUCGAGAGUUCGAGCCUCUCUCACCCCA
rnacentral:tRNA from 1 species